CUCGAGGUCUGACUUGGUGAUGAGGACGUCUUCAUUGUAGACAAUCUGCUUGUUGCUCUUCAGUCCGUGACCUUCCUUAUUAAUGAUUUUCCAAAUCAUCAGGCAGCUGUCUUCAGACACUGUCACCAGGAACUGUUCAUCACAUGUGAUGACCAUCUGAUGACACACAAAGCAAUCAGAAUCAGG